GACGAACGCUGGCGGCGUGCUUAACACAUGCAAGCCGAACGAUGAAGAAAAGAAUCGAAGCUUCGGCAGAAAUUCAUUUCGGAUUAGUGGCAGACGGGUGAGUAACGCGUGAGCAACCUACCUCUUACAAAGGGAUAGCCUCGGGAAACCGGGAUUAAUACCAUAUAACAUUGCGACGAAGCAUUUCGAUGCAAUCAAAGCUACGGCGGUAAGAGAUGGGCUCGCGUCCCAUUAACCGGAUGGUGAGGUAACGGCUCACCAUAGUGACGAUGGGUAACCGGCCGGAGAGCGUGAACGGUCACACUGGAAAUGAGACACGGUCCAGACUGCCACGGGAGGCAGCAGUAGGGAAUAUUGCACAAUGGAGGGAACUGUGAUGCAGCGACGCGGCGUGAGUGAUGAAGGAAUUCGUUUCGUAAAACUCUGUUCUAUGGGAAGAAAAGGACUGUACCAGAGGAGAAAGCACCGGCUAAAUACGUG
rnacentral:rRNA from 1 species